rnacentral:rRNA from 1 species
CGGGUUGUAAACCACUUUUGGCGGGGGCAAAAUAUCGAGUGCUAAUACCAUUCGGUGAUGACGGUACCCGCAGAAUAAGCACCGGCUAACUACGUGCCAGCAGCCGCGGUAAUACGUAGGGUGCAAGCGUUAAUCGGAAUUACUGGGCGUAAAGCGUGCGCAGGCGGUUAGGUAAGACAGAUGUGAAAUUCCCGGGCUCAACCUGGGAACUGCAUUUGAGACUGCCUGACUAGAGUGCGGCAGAGGGGAGUGGAAUUCCGCGUGUAGCAGUGAAAUGCGUAAAUAUGCGGAGGAACACCAAUGGCGAAGGCAACUCCCUGGGCCUGCACUGACGCUCAUGCACAAAAGCGUGGGGAGCAAACACGAUUAAAUACCCUGGUAGUCCACGCCCUAAACGAUGUCUACUAGUUGUUGGUCAGGCUACUGUUUUUAACCUGGCUAACACGUGAACUCGACCGCCUGGGGAGUACGGCCGCAAGGUUAAAACUCUAAUGAAUUGACGGGGG